UUUUAUUGGGAGGGUCUGGAUUUUAACUUUUUUUAAAUACUGUUAAGUUUUUAUAAAAGGAAAACCAUCUCUAUGUGAUAAUUACCUCUCAAUCCAUUUGUUUUUAAGGAAAUCCCUAUAAAAACAACCACACACACAAAAAAUGCUUCAAUCAGACGCACACAGCUCAAUCACACUGGAAAUAUCUGUCCUUGUACCUGAGCCUGCUCCCCCCCGCCCCCCGACUCAGCUGUGAGAGUUCCUCUGCCCUGGGGGUUGGUCUCACUGGCGUCCUGCCUCCCUGCCCAGUCCCACCCAAAGUGGGUUUUGCACUGGGGCCCUAGCUUUUUGUGCGUCACCCACAAGUUGCACCUUCUCAUCCAGGCACUCACUCAGCAAACACUCGCUGAGUGCCAGCUGGGUGUCAGGCCCCAUGCUGGGUGCUGGGAAAUGCAUCUGUGAACAAGAUAGGCUUGGGUCCUGCUCUUGGAGCACUGACAGUGGGACUCAGUCAAGUCAGGGGGUGCCUAUCUUGAGACCAGAAGUUUUCAUAGUUGGAUCUGAGCCUUUUGAGCCUGGAGCGAUUGCUCUUAUACAAGACCACUAAGGAGGCACAGUGUGUGUGCAGCCUCAGCGCAUCCCUGCCUCUAGCCCAGCGAUUCUCUGCCAAAGCUUGUGGAGGAGGGGGGGAGCCCUCCCCCCACUUCCAUCCGUCUCCCCAGUGCCCUGGCCUUCCUAUUUAUUUUCCCAGUGUAGUGCUUUCCUUGCGUUAAAGGAGAUCUUCCCCUCACCCUUUGGGCCAAUUUACUGGCUACUGACUAAUUUCCCUUAAAUACCAAUUGUGUCAUUAGGGGGUCUUCUCUCCCUACCCCUGCUGACGCACUUCCCCCUUGUUGUCUGCCCUCUGGCAGAGCUUGGCGGGUUAUGGGAGCUGAUGGAACUCAGACUCCUCACUCCCUGCCUCAACCAGCCUCUGGGAUCUGCCGACACUCCUCGACCCAGGGACUACCAAGCCACUAGCCCACUCCCCAGGUGGCCCAGCUGUCCUCACCACACACUCCUCCUCCACCUCCGGGGAAGACUGAGCAGUUUUGGGGGGACGCUCCCAGCCCCACUGCCGCCACUCUUAACCCAAGAGUUAGGAGUUAGAGAGUUGGGGAGAAACUAAAGCUGUGGUUUUGGCUCCCUGAGGCUAACCCUGAUCCAUAGGGCUACCUGCACCUCUGGAUUUUGGAUUCACAGACCAAGUCCAAGCCCGUUCUUACGUCGCCAUCAAGGCCCCCGAACGGCAUUCUCGGUACUUCUGUUUGUUUUUGUACAUUUUAUUAGAAUGGACUGUAAAAUAGCCACUUAGACACUUUACCUCUUCAGUAUGCAAAUGUAAAUAAGUUGUAAUAUAGGAAAUCUUUUGUUUUAAUAUAAGAAUGAGCCUGUCCAAUU
ensembl:lncRNA